AUUUAAGUAGCUCAGAGGAUAGAGCAACAGCUUGGUGCUGUUGGCGAAGGUUCGAAUCCUUCCUUAAAUA
rnacentral:tRNA from 1 species